rnacentral:lncRNA from 1 species
CUUUGUUCAAUCUUAUUAAAUGAGUAAAUUUGCACAUAAUCCUAUUUCUUCAUUGAUUUUUAUUAUUCAUUAUUCAUCAUUAUCAUUAAUGUUUAGGAAAGUUUCAUGAGGUCCUCAUGGUAAUUACAAUUAUAAACAUUCAUUAAGCACUCACGUGAUAAACAUUGCAUUAUUCUCUUUACAGGGAAGUGCAGUGCUUAAAAAUGACAUCUAUAGACUAAAGAUGCCAAAGUUUAUGUGUCUAACCUAGAUUUCUGUCCUCACUUCUGUGCUUAUAUAUCCAAAUGCCAGCAUGCCAUGCCCAGUUGCAUGCCUGAUGAGCCUCUCAAAUUUGACAUGACUAAAACUGACCUUCUGACCUGCCUCUUCAAAAUCGUGCCUCUCAAAGCAUGUCCAUUUCAGGCAAUGGCAACUCCAUCCUUCCAGUUGUAAUGAUGACCCAUGAGUCAUUCUUAACUCCCUUUUUCAUUUAGAUAUCAAUUCCUUCUCUAUAUAGUUCAUGUACAUUGAGGAUGCUGGCCUUGUUCUUUGCCCAGGAGUGUUCACUGAUUGACUUAAGACAAUCAGCACAUUCUACUCCCAUGGUCAGGGGCCAAUAAGAGUGAAUCUCACAAGUUUUGUGAGAAAAAAAUAGGAAAGAAGAUGCACUUUCUCUCCUUGUUGAAUGUGAAAUAAAUGUUUAUAGCCUCAAUUGUGGGAGAUGGCCAUUCUUCAACUGAGAAGGGAGCCAGACUUGGUAUAGAACUAGCACCAUAGAUAUCAGAAGAUAGAAAAAGAAAGUGGCUUUUGAAGAGGUUAUUGAGUGACUGGGUCAUCAAAACCUGAAGCUUCCUCGACCUCUGAACUUUCCAAUCAUGUGAGCCAAACACUUCCUUGUUGUUAAAGCAACUUUGAAUUGGAGCUUUUGAUUCAUGCAAGUGAAACAUCCUAAUUAAUAUAAACGGGUGGCCCUUUAACAAGUCUUUGUGUGUUGAUUAACUUCAUAUAUUUUGGUGAAAUACAGAAUAAAUGGCAUUUUCAAUUUUUCAUAGCCCUGUGCCUUUGGCUAUGCUGUUCCUUGUCUCUGGAGUGCCCUUUCCACCAUGUCCUCUUAGCAAAUCCCUACUCAACUUUUAAGACCUAACACAAAUAUCCCUUUCUUUCUUAGGAUGUAUUGUUUAGACAUGGCCUAAUUUUAAGUACCUGACCCUAGUGGACUCAUUCGUUGGUCCCAUUAGUGGGAAAGUCAUACAAAAAAUACAUAUUUUCUCUUCUACUAUAUGCCAGGCAUGUGCCAGGCACAUACAAUGGGAAAACUCCUUAAGGAGUUUAGAAAUGGGCUAUACAGAGAAGUGAGCCAGCAAGCAAUUACAAUAUGGGAAGUCCAGUGUUGAGACGGCAAAAUGUCUGGGUGUGGUGGGAGUAUAAUAGUGGUAAGCCCCUCAUCAAGUCUUAGUGGGUAUGGAUAAUGGAGGUGAGUCCUGGAGGAAGUGAUGUCUACAAAAAGAUUUAAGAACCAGUAGGAGCUUAACAGACAGGAAGACAGAGAAAAGAACAUCCCAGGAAGAAGAAGAGUUCCUGACAACAUCCAGCAGCAUCAGAGAUCAAGACAACCCUCUUGGGGGACAGGGUCAGAAUGUAGAGUUCCAGAAGGAACAUAGUGAAAGAUGAAGCUAGAGUCCAAGGAGACAACCAGACCAAGAGGGACCUCACAAGGCUUACUAAAGAAUAUGGAUUCUGUCCUGGGGACCACUGGGAAGAUGAUUUAUUUGCGCUUUAGAAAAAUCAAAGAGGCUGCAGAAGUGAGGGGUUUGGGGGAGCCCCACAUAGACCAGGUAGACCUGUUAGGGAGCAUUGGAUCUGUCUAGUCCUUAUCUCCUUGUGUGUCAUUUCCCCUGAGAUAUCUGAUUAGGAGCAGACACAGAACUUAAAGAUUAUGGAAAAAGUGGCAAUUGUGAGUCUUUCCAUGUGAGCCCACCAAGAGGGGGUCAUUUUGGACAUGGAAGACUGCCUUAAGUGACCAGAAUGGCAUAAGUAAUAUUGAUAAUGAACAUGAUGACAGUACCAUGUAAACAACAUUCUUAAGGUCAAAUAUGCAGCAAAAUUUAACAGCCAUUGGUGGUUCUUUUGACCAACUCCAAAUUUUGGAUUUUAGUCACUUCAUCCAACAGAUUCACUUGAAACAAUCGAGGUUUUGGACAAAAGAAACAGGCAUGUAAUGCAUCACCACUAGAUUUUAUUAGAAGUCAAUUCAUUGGUCAAAUAACAGUAGUCUCCUAACACGGUGUGAGGGUGAGCAGAACUUCCUCCCUGACGCGGGUGUUGACAUCUUUUGGAGACCAAGGCAAUAUAUGGAGGGGUCUUUCCGUAAUUCCUGACCAUGGGGAGUCAUCACUGAAGCAGCCGAGUCUUUCGU